UUGUUUAGAGCAGAAAAAGGUGGAUACACAGCUUGACAACAAACUCCCCAGACACAGAUUGAAUCACUGCUGCUAGAAACGAUGCUGCUCACAGAUUUCCAAGUCACUGCUUUCAAUCACUUUGAGCAAAACAGUUUAGCAAUCACUCCUGGGAUAGGAAAGCAUCCAUCGAUGGGUGCUUCAGAAUCUGGGCAGAAGCUGUAGGUCAUCUGGGAACUUCUCGCCAACUCUUUAUGAAUACUGAUGUUUCGGACCAUCCCGCAUCACGAAGCGCCUCAUGUCCAGGUUACACUCGUCUUCACUGCAGGUGUCCAGCUGUCUCUGCCGUUCCAGUGCACUACACUCAAGCUCAGCCUAUGUGAAUAACUACAACCAAUUGUCUACAUUUAUCCUAAUUGUAAAAUGCAAUGAACAAAGAAUCAUUCAGAGAGGUGUGAUGUGUGAUUGGACACCUGUGCACUGUAACCAGGGAUGCUGCUCAAUGUCCUGUAAGCUGGGGCGGUCGUCCGCUGCUGUUCUAAGACACCAUUUUAUCAACUGGCGGCAAUCUGUUACAUACAACACAAUACUUGACAUCAGUAACACAACAUUAACUUCUCGAUCUCUCUUUGAGAACAACUGAAUAUUUACUAUCACUUGCCUGCAGACAGAUGACUAGGGAAGCGCAGUCUGCGAAUCCUAUAUGCGCUUUUGAAAGGUACAGAACCGCACAGGAGGUUGUAGAGAGUCACACCCAGUGACCAAACAGUAGCUGGUCCUGCACGAUAGCUGUGGGAACGAAACCACUCAGGAGGGGUGUAUGAAAGAGUGCCUAAGAGACCCAAAAAGAGGAAGAGAUCAGCUGAAAAGGUUCCGGUUCAAAACAGAGAUGAUCACAAACAUAUCCAUGUAUAAGAACAUUCACCUGCAAACGAUUUGUACUCCGAGUCCUUCAGCAGGUGUCCACAGCCAAAAUCCAGCAGCUUGAGCUCAUGUGAAUCGGUGGAAAUUAGCAGGUUUUGUGGCUUGACGUCCCGGUGGAAAACCCCGCGGCUCUCGCAGUGUUUGAGAGCGUUGAUGAGCUGGACCAGCACUUUCUUCGUCUGGCUUUCAUCCAGACAGCCGUCAUUCUCCUCACAGAAUCUCUGCAGAUCUUGGCAAGGAUCCGGGCGUUCCAGGAUCAUGACGUAGUGGCCCGGAUAGUCAAACCAGUCCAGGAGCUGCAGGACAUUGGGGCAGGCAGGAGCUGAAUUGACCAUGAUCAUCAAAGCCACCUCCAGCGGCAGCAGACCCUGACCGUCCUGAAGUGGCAAAAGAGGACAUGAUAUUAUUAAAUUAUCGUCGGAGGGCUAAAUAAAUAUGCAUGCAAACCAAUAAACUUCAAAUAGCCGAAUUUCAAAACUGAACUUACAACUUCUAUCUUCUCGUGCUCCUCGUCUUUAAAGACGUACUUGAUGGCAACCUGCACACAGAUAAACAACAGUUAAUGACACCUGCUAAUUCAUGCUCUGCCACAGUAUCAUGAAUAAGGGGUGUUGAAUCAAUAUCUUACUGGCAAUCCAUCAGAGCUGCGGGUCCCAGCAUACACAGAUCCAAAUCCUCCUUGACCCAGCAAUGGACCCUUUGUGUACUCUUCUGCAACAUAAAGAAUGUUACUUUAGAUCAAUCAGUGGAUGAACAUUUUCAGUGGAAAUAAUUCGGGUAUGUUUUAAGAAUAAGCCUGACCUUCCCACGAGCGUUUGGUGGGUCUCUCGAAUGAAGUGGUGGGAUCUUCAUCCUCCGAGCUCGGCCUCUUCCUCUGACUUUGAGUCGACUCAGAAAGCAGAAGAGUGAUACUGCCAGACACCUCUUCCCUCUGUGAUUGGGUUGGUUUUGACAGUGGUUCCUGAAUCUGGAAACCAGAGCCCAAACUCCCAAACUCCUGACCAGCCAUCCAUGUAAAAUCAGCACUGGAGCAGCCUGAGGCAGAAAGAGCAGCAGCAGGCGUUUGGUGGGUCUCUCGAAUGAAGUGGUGGGAUCUUCAUCCUCCGAUCUCUUCCUCUUCCUUUGAGUCGAAUGUAGAGGAGCGAUAUUGUCAGACACCUUUUGACUCACUUUGGUUGGUUUUGACAGUGGUUUCUGAAUGUCAUCACCAAAGUCUAACCUCCCAAACUCUAGACCAGCCAUCUGGAUAGAUGGUAAAGCAGCACUGGAUCUGGAGCGGCCUGAGGCUGAAAGAAGAGCAAUUUAGAAAUUUAAAAUUUGUUCUUGUUAUUUUUAACAUUAUAACUAAAACAUGUGGCUCAAAAUAUUUCAGUUAUUUCAAAGGUUUUUACAAAUGCACCAAAACCCAGAAAGACACGCGACCAAGAAAACAAAUAUGACAAAAAAAAUAAGAUAAACAUAACAAACAAUUAGCUUUUUUUUCCAAUGAGAUUACAUUUUAUUGAAAGCUUGGAAAGC